rnacentral:rRNA from 1 species
UGGGGAAUAUUGGACAAUGGGCGCAAGCAUGAUCCAGCCAUGCCGCGUGAGUGAUGAAGGCCCUAGGGUUGUAAAGCUCUUUCACCGGUGAAGAUAAUGACGGUAACCGGAGAAGAAGCCCCGGCUAACUUCGUGCCAGCAGCCGCGGUAAUACGAAGGGGGCUAGCGUUGUUCGGAUUUACUGGGCGUAAAGCGCACGUAGGCGGACUAUUAAGUCAGGGGUGAAAUCCCGGGGCUCAACCCCGGAACUGCCUUUGAUACUGGUAGUCUUGAGUUCGAGGGAGGUGAGUGGAAUUCCGAGUGUAGAAGUGAAAUUCGUAGAUAUUCGGAGGAACACCAGUGGCGAAGGCGGCUCACUUGCUCGAUACUGACGCUGAGGUGCGAAAGCGUGGGGAGCAAACAGG